rnacentral:rRNA from 1 species
CGGCGGACGGGUGAGUAACGCGUGGGUAACCUGCCUCAUACAGGGGGAUAACAGUUAGAAAUGACUGCUAAUACCGCAUAAGACCACAGCACCGCAUGGUGCGGGGGUAAAAACUCCGGUGGUAUGAGAUGAACCCGCGUCUGAUUAGCUAGUUGGUAAGGUAACGGCUUACCAAGGCGACGAUCGGUAGCCGACCUGAGAGGGUGACCGGCCACAUUGGGACUGAGACACGGCCCAA